rnacentral:rRNA from 1 species
GAUGAACGCUGGCGGCGUGCCUAAUACAUGCAAGUCGAGCGAACAGACGAGGAGCUUGCUCCUCUGACGUUAGCGGCGGACGGGUGAGUAACACGUGGAUAACCUACCUAUAAGACUGGGAUAACUUCGGGAAACCGGAGCUAAUACCGGAUAAUAUAUUGAACCGCAUGGUUCAAUAGUGAAAGACGGUUUUGCUGUCACUUAUAGAUGGAUCCGCGCCGCAUUAGCUAGUUGGUAAGGUAACGGCUUACCAAGGCAACGAUGCGUAGCCGACCUGAGAGGAUGAUCGGCCACACUGGAACUGAGACACGGUCCAGACUCCUACGGGAGGCAGCAGUAGGGAAUCUUCCGCAAUGGGCGAAAGCCUGACGGAGCAACGCCGCGUGAGUGAUGAAGGUCUUCGGAUCGUAAAACUCUGUUAUUAGGGAAGAACAAAUGUGUAAGUAACUAUGCACGUCUUGACGGUACCUACUCAGAAAGCCACGGCUAACUACGUG